rnacentral:rRNA from 1 species
GAUGAACGCUGGCGGCGUGCCUAAUACAUGCAAGUCGAGCGAACAGACGAGGAGCUUGCUCCUCUGACGUUAGCGGCGGACGGGUGAGUAACACGUGGAUAACCUACCUAUAAGACUGGGAUAACUUCGGGAAACCGGAGCUAAUACCGGAUAAUAUAUUGAACCGCAUGGUUCAAUAGUGAAAGACGGUUUUGCUGUCACUUAUAGAUGGAUCCGCGCCGCAUUAGCUAGUUGGUAAGGUAACGGCUUACCAAGGCGACGAUGCGUAGCCGACCUGAGAGGGUGAUCGGCCACACUGGAACUGAGACACGGUCCAGACUCCUACGGGAGGCAGCAGUAGGGAAUCUUCCGCAAAGGGCGAAAGCCUGACGGAGCAACGCCGCGUGAGUGAUGAAGGUCUUCGGAUCGUAAAACUCUGUCAUUAGGGAAGAACAAAUGUGUAAGUAACUAUGCACGUCUUGACGGUACCUAAUCAGAAAGCCACGGCUAACUACGUG